ACACGUAGGGCGCAAGCGUUGUCCGGAUUUAUUGGGCGUAAAGGGCUCGUAGGCGGUUUCGUAAGUCGGGUGUGAAAACUCAGGGCUCAACCCUGAGACGCCACUCGAUACUGCGAUGACUUGAGUCCGGUAGGGGAGCAGGGAAUUCCUGGUGUAGCGGUGAAAUGCGCAGAUAUCAGGAGGAACACCAUUAGCGAAGGCGCUGCUCUGGGCCGGUAAUGACGCUGAGGAGCGAAAGCAUGGGGAGCAAACAGGAUUAGAAACCCCAAGUAGUCC
rnacentral:rRNA from 1 species